AAACCGUCUGCACACGGUAACCUGCGAGCAAAUGAGACUAGACUAAGCACGAAGGAAGAAAAAAAAAGGUCUUUCAUCUCCACGUGAUAUAUCCCAUUUGGGUCUGUGGUCUCAGGAGAAUGGAUCUAGCACAAUCCAUAGGGCACCAUAUAAAUCCAUGCCACUGCAGUCCAUAUGAAGCACCCAAGAGCCACACAGCUGAGUGAAGACAUGUGGGACCACUCAGUCUUGGUCAAGUAAUUUUAUGACUGCAAAAUACCCCAAAAGAAAGCCCUCACAAAGCCCUUCAUCUGAACCCAGCCCAAGUUUCCUACCCACAACAUCAUGAAUAAUUAA